GUGAGGAAUAUUGGGCAAUGGGCGAAAGCCUGACCCAGCCACGCCGCGUGAGUGAUGAAGGCCUUCGGGUUGUAAAGCUCUGUGGGGAGGGAAGAAAAAGCGGGAGAGUAACUGCUCUCGUGUUGACGGUACCUCCUUAGCAAGCACCGGCUAACUCUGUGCCAGCAGCCGCGGUAAUACAGAGGGUGCAAACGUUGCUCGGAAUUACUGGGCGUAAAGCGCGUGUAGGCUGACAUGCAAGUCGGGUGUGAAAUCCCAGGGCUCAACCUUGGAACUGCACUCGAAACUGCACGUCUUGAGUACUGGAGAGGGAAGCGGAAUUCCGGGGGUAGAGGUGAAAUUCGUAGAUAUCCGGAGGAACACCAGUGGCGAAGGCGGCUUCCUGGACAGUAACUGACGCUGAGACGCGAAAGCGUGGGGAGCAAACAGGAUUAGAAACCCGGGUAGUCC
rnacentral:rRNA from 1 species